rnacentral:rRNA from 1 species
UACGAAGGGGGCUAGCGUUGUUCGGAAUUACUGGGCUUAAAGGGUGCGUAGGCUGCGCGGAAAGUUGGGUGUGAAAUCCCUCGGCUCAACCGAGGAACUGCGCCCAAAACUGCCGUGCUCGAGGAAGAUAGAGGUAAGCGGAACUUACGGUGGAGCGGUGAAAUGCGUUGAUAUCGUAAGGAACACCUGUGGCGAAAGCGGCUUACUGGGUCUUUUCUGACGCUGAUGCACGAAAGCUAGGGGAGCAAACGGG